CCAGAAGUCACAUCGGAGGCACUGUGGUAUGGGUGCUGAGCACCCGCAACAAUUUUUUGUGGGUGCCCAGGCCCCCAGGGCCCCCUGGAGUUGGCUCCAGUGUUCAGAAGGGAGAGGAGGGAUGGCCUCAACACGCAGGUGCCAUUUUCAGCAGCAAUCCCUUGUAGAUCACCACAUGGUACUCUAGAGAUUUUCCAGAGCAGUUUGUGGAGUGGUAGUGGAGGGUCUACUGUUCAAAGGGAAGCAAGUCAAACAUCCCACUUGGACAACCUACCCCCCCCCGAAAGACCUUUGCCUUGGAAGGUGUGUUAGCUACAUGGACAGAAUGUGCCCCUGAGCAGGUUGGGUCUCAGUUUCAGCUCUUUGUCUGAAUGUGGGCAUAACUUCUCCUUUGCUAAAAAUGAUAAGGAGCAAAUGAAUAUAUACCAGUAUGCUGUGUUACUGCUUAGCUUAACACAAUACUCUGACACAGCAGUUAAGUCUUUUCUUUGAAAUGAAAUUUAGUGCCUUGUGAACGUAACAGCAGAAGUCACUUCAAUUUUGUUUUUAAACCCUUUUAAUAAAAUGAAACUUUUAAGUCCAUAUGCUGACUUCCAAGUCCCAGCGCUGCAUUUCAAGCAGGGCUAAUGAAAUGGUAUAAUAAAUCAGGCAACCUUUUACAGUUGGAAUGAAGAUACAUACACACCCACACAUCUAUGAAUUCUUUUUUUAAAAAAAAUAAGUGUCUUUUUAUUGAAGUUUUCAAUAUUUACAACCAAAUAGCCCACCUCCACUACAAAACCCAGGAUGCAACAGGGUGCAAACAAUAAUAUAUAUGUCUUAAAUUCCUUUCCAGAUUAUACAAAAACAAGAAAAAGGAGACAUUACAAUAUCAAAACUGAACCAACAAAAAACCCUGCAAGUGGUGGGGUUUCCCGCUUCAUUUACUGUAGAUAUCAUGUAAGCAAUACUGUAAAGCUAUUCAUGGCAAAUGUGUCCUUACAUCUCUCACACACACCCUUUCACAGUUUUCAUUAAGCUUUUAAUUUAGGGCAAUUAGCCAGAUUUUCCAGCCCUACACCAUCAAUGACAAACCCCCUCCGAAAUCUAGCAAUUAGCAACCUCACUGGC